AAUAUUGCGCAAUGGGGGGAACCCUGACGCCGCAACGCCGCGUGAGCGAGGAAGGCCUUCGGGUCGUAAAGCUCUGUCUAGAGGGAUGAUAGCGACAGUACCUCUGGAGGAAGCUCCGGCUAACUACGUGCCAGCAGCCGCGGUAAUACGUAGGGGGCAAGCGUUGUCCGGAUUUACUGGGCGUAAAGGGUACGUAGGCGGCUAUAUAAGUCAGGUGUGAAAUACCAGUGCUUAACACUGGAAUUGCAUUUGAAACUGUGUAGCUUGAGUGCAGGAGAGGAAAGUGGAAUUCCUAGUGUAGCGGUGAAAUGCGUAGAGAUUAGGAGGAACACCAGUGGCGAAGGCGACUUUCUGGACUGUAACUGACGCUGAGGUACGAAAGCGUGGGUAGCGAACA
rnacentral:rRNA from 1 species